rnacentral:lncRNA from 1 species
UAUAUGCUAAACGCCAUAUAAAAGUUCCUGUGUGUUAAAGCUCCUCAUUCAGUCAACUUUAUUCUUCUAAAUGUGUUUCCAAUGGCUGACGGGGAUUUUUCACUGUCUCCGAGGGAGAUGCUCCCGCCGGAACAGGGGCUACAACAAUGACAUCCCCUCGCACUACGGAGGAUGCCAAGGGUGCUCCUCAAGCAUCGAGGGACGGGGCUCCUUCUUCUUUGGUGGGGAUGGCUCUGUCACCUGCAGCCGGGAAGCUUCGCCCUGCCCAAUCAUGCCAGCAUCCUCCACCUGCAGUGUUUCAGCGGGGUGGGAGCAGCGGGGAAUUGGGGUUCUCUAGUGGAGCAUCGGGCUAUGGCAGUGGGGAGUUCUCCAGCCCAGAGCUGAGCUCUGGAGGUGCUGGAUCCUCCCAGGCCAUGCAGCAGAAGUGCCCCGUGGUCAUUCCCGACAUUGAGACCCAACAGAGCAAGAAGAGCUGCCACUGGCCCCCCAGCCAGAAGAAAUGAAGGACCCAGCAGCCGCCCCUGCCCAUGCAGACAUGCCCUGGAUGUGCCACGUUGAGGCUUUUCCCAUGGACCGGGAGCUUUGAAUUCCUUACAUCAGCCUGCACUUGUAAUGCUGUUGGGAGCACCUCUGGGAAAAGGGCUUCAUGCUUUGGUGGUUGGUUUGGCUUCCUCCUUUUUCUCAUGGCUUGGGAAAUAAAGCCUCAUUGUCUGAGGGAACUUCA